rnacentral:rRNA from 1 species
CCCUUAGAUGUUCUGGGCUGCACGCGCGCUACACUGAUGCGUUCAACGAGUGUACAUCCUUGCCCGGUAGGGUUGGGUAAUCUUCUGAACACGCAUCGUGAUGGGGAUAGAUUAUUGCAAUUAUUAAUCUUCAACGAGGAAUUCCUAGUAAUGGUGAAUCAUCAGUUCAUCGUGAUUACGUCCCUGCCCUUUGUACACACCGCCCGUCGCUCCUACCGAUUGAGUGGUCCGGUGAGGCUUUGGGAUCUAAGCGAAAAGAGCGUUUCGCUCCUUUUGCUGGGAGAACUCAGUCGAACCUUAUCAUUUAGAGGAAGGAGAAGUCGUAACA